CCCUUAGAUGGUCUGGGCGGCACGCGCGCUACAAUGAUGCAUUCAAAAAGUCUUCUGACCUUAGAAGGUUGGGUAUUCUCCAAAGUGCAUCGUGAUGGGAAUAGUUUAUUGCAAUUUUUAAUCUUGAACGAGGAAUUCCUAGUAAGUACAGGUCAUCAACUUGUGUUGAUUACGUCCCUGCCCUUUGUACACACCGCCCGUCGCUCCUACCGAUUGGGUGUGCUGGUGAAAUGUUCGGAUCGGCCGUUUGUCGCGGUUUCCGCGGCUCGUGGCUGAGAAGUUCAUUAAACCCUCCCACCUAGAGGAAGGAGAAGUCGUAACA
rnacentral:rRNA from 1 species